AGAGUUUUAGGUUAACCAAACCAAAAGCCUUCAAAGCUUUCAACGGAAGUUAAAAUCUUCCAAACUCUG
rnacentral:tRNA from 2 species